GGGCUCAGGGGCCGAGACCUAGCUGGGCUUGGGGCGGGGCCGAGACGGAGCGAGGGGUCCAGGGUGUGGGAAACGGGGAGGGGUUUGAGGAGGGGAUCGGAAUGUGGCUCAAGUUCGGGAGGCGUUACCUGCGGAGGGUUUGAGGCAGGCCCAGGAGCGAGCCCAUGGUCUUCCGACGCGGGGCCAGGGGCGGGGCCCAGGAUCCGGAGCUUCGUGCGGGGCCGAGUCCAGGUUUGGGGCCCGGGAGGCGGGGCCAGUUAGGGCGAGGGUCCCUGGGAUCGUCGGGUCAGGCCUUGGGCUAACGUAGGCACUCUCGCAGUUCCUCCGCCUUCAGGAAGGUCUUUUCAGCAGGGGCCUUACGGGUGCAUGCUUCGGUCCUGGAGGCCUUAUCCUAGCCUCCUCUCCAUCAGCGCCACCCGUCUGGGGCCCGAAAGGAGGGAGCUUUCCCUCUGUCCCCCAGCCUUUGGACUGUCACUAAACAAGCCAUUCGUUCAUCAAAUACUUUUUAAGCGCCUACCAUGUGCCUGACAAGGGAGAUGUAACGGUGAGAAAAACUAGGUGUGGUCCAGGCCCUUCAGGGGCUCAGGUGCUCGUGGAAGAAGUGGACAUUGAAGUACUUAUCACACAAAUGAGGAUAAAAGUACGAUAACGAUAUCUACCACGAAGCUGUUGUUCCCCACCAGAACCAAAUGAGCGCAAGAUCUGACAAAGAAAAAAAAAGGUUCAUCUUUUAUUCCUCCAAACACUUUCAUUUAAAUCAAGAGGAUGGGAUGUGGUUAUUGCUGUGUUUUUAGACAGAAUCAACGGUUUCUGGGUCUGAGAUGUUGCAUACACCUUCUCAGUCCCUGUAUCCUGAGAUGGAGUCACCUGAGAAUCCACAGCAAGUCCUAACCAGGGAUGGGUCUGGGUGAUUAAGGAAGGUUGGCUUCAGAACUGGGCCAGGGGCACUGCUUUGCUUUUGCUGUUUUGAUCAGCUCUCUGCCUGAAGGAGACAAGAAAAACCAACGGGAACAGCUGGGGAAACUGAGUUACAGAGCUUGUCUGCACUGAGUCAUCAGGAGCAAAUGCUAGAUCAGAUAGGGUCUCUCUCUCUGCCACCCAGGCCAGAGUGCAGUUGACGCAGGGCAGGGGAGCCCCGAAGUGGAGCAUAGUGUGUCCGGAACUGGUGGGUUCUUGGUCUCACUGACUUCAAGAAAGAAGCCGCGGACCCUCGCGAAAUGAGGCUUCUCCCCAGGACCAGCAUUCCACGAAGGCAGCCCUUUUCUAGAUGGAGAAAACAGAACCUGAAGACACCCGUUUCCCUAAACUGCUCUCGCUCAUGUUUCUACAAGGCCUGGAGCUGAUAGGAAAAACCUCCCUUCUUUCCCAAAUGGUCCCCAGCUGCCCCGUUCACUGAAGGCCCUGCAGUCAGGAACGGUCAGGACUUCACACCCAGUUGUUGUGGGUGUUUGGCCGACACGACACUUCCUCUUGUGUGAUUCAUGGACCCGCAGCAUUGCGUCACCUGGGAGCUUUUGGUAUUGAAGACUCUCAGGGCUCACCCGGAAGGACCUGCUGGGCCAGAAUCUACAUUUUAACAAGAUGCCCAGAAACUCCUGGAGGGCAGAGGCAUGCCUGCCAUCUUCAUCAUUGCAUUACCACCACCCAACACUAUCGGGGGACCUGCCCUGAUAAUCAGUCUACAGGUGUAUCCAGCAGCUCCAGAGAGACAGCGACCAGCGAGAAGGGGCCAUGAUGAUGGAGGUGGUUUUGUCAAAACGAAAAUGGGGAUAUGUAGGGAAAAGAAAGAGAGAUCAGACUGUUACUGUGUCUACAUAGAAAGGGAAGACAUAAGAGACUCCAUUUUGAAAAAGACCUGUACUUUAAACAAUUGCUUUGCUGAGAUGUUGUUAAUCUGUAGCUUUGCCCCAGCCACUUUGCCCCAACCACUUUGACCCAAUCUGGAGCUCAUAAAAACAUGUGUUGUAUGAAAUCAAGGUUUAAGGCAUGUAGGGCUGUGCAGGACGUGCCUUGUUAACCAAAUGUUUGCAAGCAGUAUACUUGGUAAAAGUCAUCACCAUUCUCUCAUCUCAAUAAACCAGGGGCACAAUGCACUGUGGAAAGCCGCAGGGACCUCUGCCCUUGAAAGCUGGGUAUUGUCCAAAGUUCCUCCCCAUGUGAUAGUCUGAAAUAUGGCCUCGUGGGAUGAGAAAGACCUGACGGUCCCCCAGCGCGACACCCAUAAAAGAUCUGUGCUGAGGUGGAUUAGUCAAAGAGGAAAGACUUGCAGUUGAGAUAGAGGAAGGCCACUGUCUCCUGACUGCCCCUGGGAACUGAAUGUCUCGGUAUAAAACACGAUUGUACAUUUGUUCAGUUCUGAGAUGGGAGAAAAACCGCCCUAUGGUGGGAGGCGAGACAUGUUUACAGCAAUGCUGCCUUGUUAUCCUUUACUCCACUGAGAUGUCUGGGUGGAGAGAAACAUAAAUCUGGCUUACAUGCACGUCCAGUCAUAGUACCUUCCCUUGAACUUCAUUAUGACAUGGAUUCUAUUGCUCACGUUUGUUGCUGACCUUCUCCUUAUUAUCACCCUGCCCUCCUACUACAUUCCUUUUUGCUGAAAUAAUGAAGAUAAUAAUCAAUAAAAACUGAGGGAAUUCAG
rnacentral:lncRNA from 1 species